rnacentral:misc_RNA from 1 species
CUCUGCACGAGGGAGGCGGAAGUCUGCAUAUAUAAAUUAAUGGGAGAAUUGUGGUGAUAGUGACAUCCUUUGGACUAUACACUGUGUAUAUCCGAUCGGGAGCGUGCUGCUUGUUCGAAGUUCACGCGAACGUUGGCUAUUAUCCCACCGCGGACAGUUCCUUUUCGUCGAAGGAUCACAAUAAUUUUCUACCGUACAACUUUGAGAACAUUUAAAUCGGCCGAACCCUCCGGAACACGUACGUGUAUCCGUAGCACUUACAUAUAUUUACAUCGAAUUAACCUCGGUCAACCUGGGUGGAAACAGGUUGCUUUCCCGUAAUAAUUAUUACACCACUCGAAUUAUAAUUAUUAAUUCCGUACACUGGUUCGAUCCUUCGUCUAAUUAAUUCUGUGCAUUAAUUGACCGCCACGCUGACACAGAGACGCGUUUACAGAGAUCGAUUGCGUUCAAGCCAAAAAGGAUUACGAGAAGUAUCUUUAAAUUGCUCUUAGUCGUAUCAUUCGAAUUGAAUUAAAUAUACGUCUUGGAACUUUUUCACUCGUCUUUUUCCCCUAAGAAUCUUUCUGAUUAAUGUAGAUAUCAAUUAGGCGCGUGAAUUGAGCCUCGAGAUUGUAAAUUGUUAAAUUAGCUACUGGUUUUGUGUGGCCUGGUGCG